rnacentral:tRNA from 1 species
GCUGUCUUAGCACAACGGUAGUGCAGCUGAUUUGUAAUCAGCAGGUUGUGGGUUCAAAUCCUACAGGCAGCU